UGCAGUCGAGCGGAUGACAGAGAGCUUGCUCCUGGAUUCAGCGGCGGACGGGUGAGUAAUGCCUAGGAAUCUGCCUGGUAGUGGGGGACAACGUUUCGAAAGGAACGCUAAUACCGCAUACGUCCUACGGGAGAAAGCAGGGGACCUUCGGGCCUUGCGCUAUCAGAUGAGCCUAGGUCGGAUUAGCUAGUUGGUGAGGUAAUGGCUCACCAAGGCGACGAUCCGUAACUGGUCUGAGAGGAUGAUCAGUCACACUGGAACUGAGACACGGUCCAGACUCCUACGGGAGGCAGCAGUGGGGAAUAUUGGACAAUGGGCGAAAGCCUGAUCCAGCCAUGCCGCGUGUGUGAAGAAGGUCUUCGGAUUGUAAAGCACUUUAAGUUGGGAGGAAGGGCAUUAACCUAAUACGUUAGUGUUUUGACGUUACCGACAGAAUAAGCACCGGCUAACUCUGUGCCAGCAGCCGCGGUAAUACAGAGGGUGCAAGCGUUAAUCGGAAUUACUGGGCGUAAAGCGCGCGUAGGUGGUUUGUUAAGUUGGAUGUGAAAGCCCCGGGCUCAACCUGGGAACUGCAUUCAAAACUGACAAGCUAGAGUAUGGUAGAGGGUGGUGGAAUUUCCUGUGUAGCGGUGAAAUGCGUAUAUAUAGGAAGGAACACCAGUGGCGAAGGCGACCACCUGGACUGAUACUGAACUG
rnacentral:rRNA from 1 species